UACGUAGGGGGCAAGCGUUGUCCGGAAUUAUUGGGCGUAAAGCGCGUGUAGGCGGUCCGGUAAGUCGGUUGUGAAAGUCCAGGGCUCAACCCUGGGAUGCCGAUCGAUACUGCCGGACUAGAGUCCGGAAGAGGCGAGUGGAAUUCCCGGUGUAGCGGUGAAAUGCGCAGAUAUCGGGAGGAGCACCAAUGGCGAAGGCAGCUCGCUGGGACGGUACUGACGCUGAGACGCGAAAGCGUGGGGAGCAAACAGG
rnacentral:rRNA from 1 species